rnacentral:rRNA from 1 species
GCAUAUCAAUAAGCGGAGGAAAAGAAACCAACAGGGAUUGCCUCAGUAACGGCGAGUGAAGCGGCAAAAGCUCAAAUUUGAAACCCUCGGGAUUGUAAUUUGAAGAUUUGGCAUUGGAGAAAGCUAACCCAAGUUACUUGGAAUAGUACGUCAUAGAGGGUGACAACCCCGUCUGGCUAACCGUUCUCCAUGUAUUGCCUUAUCAAAGAGUCGAGUUGUUUGGGAAUGCAGCUCAAAGUGGGUGGUAAACUCCAUCUAAAGCUAAAUACUGGUGAGAGACCGAUAGCGAACAAGUACUGUGAAGGAAAGGUGAAAAGAACUUUGAAAAGAGAGUGAAAUAGUAUGUGAAAUUGUUGAUAGGGAAGGAAAUGAGUGGAGAGUGGUUUAGGUUUCAGCCUUCUUUCGAGGGGGUGCACUACCAACGCCGAGUCAUUGAUAGCGAGACAGGGGUUAUAAACGGACGGCACUUGUGCUAUUCUCCUAACCCCUCUACUGCCACCAACGACAUAAUCCACCCAUUUCACCCGUCUUGAAACACGGACC